UACGUAGGGUGCGAGCGUUUUCCGGAAUUAUUGGGCGUAAAGAGCUCGUAGGCGGUGUGUCGCGUCGGCCGUGAAAACCUGCAGCUUAACUGUGGGCUUGCGGUCGAUACGGGCAUCACUGGAGUUCGGCAGGGGAGACUGGAAUUCCUGGUGUAGCGGUGAAAUGCGCAGAUAUCAGGAGGAACACCGGUGGCGAAGGCGGGUCUCUGGGCCGAUACUGACGCUGAGGAGCGAAAGCGUGGGGAGCGAACAGG
rnacentral:rRNA from 1 species